GACAAGGGCCGAGAGCAGCCUCAGGCCAACACCCAGAGAGGGACUGCCGCCCUCGGUCCUGCUGCUGGGGCGUGAGCUCUCGUCUGAGUCAGCCUGGAAGAGACCCCUCUCCAGAGAGGUUGUGAUGACUGCAGAUCUGGCUGUCGUCUGGACAGCAGCCUGAGCGACAGCCUGGGCCACAGGGCCCACGGAGUGGUGGCCAGGCUCCUGAAGGCUAAGGACCGAAUCUGGUCCCUCUCAAAUCUGAAUGUUGAAGGCCUAUCCUGCACUGUGAUUAUAUUUGGAGAUGUAGCCUUUAGGGAGGUAAUUGAGGUUAAAACUGAGGUCCGGGGGGGGGGGCCUGAUCUGCUAGGACUGGUGCCCUUGCCAGAGGAGCGAGAUGGACACCAGGGCUGCACGUGGAGAGAAAUGUGCAUGAGGACCGUGAGAAGGUGGCCCACGGGAGAGACUGCGAGAGGAGGUGAACCUGCUGAUACCCUCAUCUCGGCUUUCUGGCUUCCAGAACCCUGAGAGAAUAAAUAAACUUCCAGUCCGUGGUGCUGUGUUAUGAUACCCUCAGCUGACUGAUACAAGCUGCUCAGUUUGGGGGUCAUUUGUUACACAGCAAAGGACGACAAAUACAACCAUCAGCCGACACUGCGUUCCCAUUCCCUCUGGGCUGGGAGCUGGGUAGAACAAGACCAAAGCCCUGGCGCAUAAGAAUGGACCUCAGUCCUCACGGAAAGACAAACACAGAAGAAGAAGUAAAAGGCUAGGGUGGGAGAAGACCUCAGGACGAAGACACCGCUUGGGGAGACGUGGAUGCAGGAGAGACCACGACACAUCGUCCUGCCUGCUCUGUGCUCCCCCUGGGGACACAGGCUCGGCCUUCUCAGAUACAGCAUCCUCUCCACGUUGUAACUGAUACGUGGAAGCGGAAAGAGGUUAUGUUGGCUGAGGUCCCGAAGCUCAUCCCGGAGUUGCCAGGAUUCACAGGCAGGUCUGCAAGGGGAGAAGAGAAGCGCUCCUUGGAGGGUGUCAGCUCCUCAGGGGUCAGGCAGAGGGAGAAGCCAGGAGGGACACAGAGACACCGUGGGAAUGAGAGGAGGAGAUUAAUAUUUCCCCAGAAUCAAAGAUAAGAGCUUUUCAUGGUUGGAAUCGUGUUCGAUGCCCAAGACAGCUGAGACCUCAGACAGGAUGAAGCCCCCCGGCCCCGAGGGCGACCUCCAUUGGCAGCGGGGUCAUUGCUGAUGUGACUGGUUAAGGGGCCGUUGCUGGAGGAGAGCGAGCCCUGAUGAGCCCUGAAGGAGGCGCCUGUGCAGACAGACGAACAAGGAGGAGCCCCUCGCAGACCCCAGCGGAGACCGAGGUCAGGAAGGGCGGGGCACAGGGCGCCUGGGGCUUCUGGAAGCUGAAAGCGGCAAGAGGUUCUCGGGCAGGCUUCAGAGGGAGCCUUCCUGAGGCCUUGAUCUUGGACAGUAAGAGAAUAGACCUCUGCUGUUUCACCCCACUGCCAUCCUCACAAGAAUCCCAGUGUCUUACUUAAAGAAGACAAGGAGUGAAAAAUUCAAAUGAAGACCUUAACAUAUUCUUUUUGAAAACAUUCAAAAGAAUAUGUUAACUUCUUAUACAUACUGCACUACGCUUUGUCUUUAAAGCUCAGACAGUUUGCUUCAGAAAACAAAGAGAGCUUGAGUCUUGCAACAGUUUCGUGGCCACCUUGACCCAGUUUUCUCAUCGUUAAAACAUCGCCGGGACUCGACGGCUGGCUUUCACGCCCCCCACACAGCCCAGCCGCUCACACCCCAUCAUCCGUGUUUGAUUUUUACCCCAUCUGCAUCCAGAGAGGAUGUGAGGCCGUGGCAUCAAAACAACAUCAGGUUUUACGCCUUCCCAGCCCGGGAAGCCUGCAAAGACGAGACAGUAAAAUAUGUGCUAAUAAAUGGUUCUGCGUCUACUG